ensembl:lncRNA
AGCUCGCGCGGGGGGCGUCUCUCCCGCAACGUCUUUUGGUUGUCCAACUCCCCAGGCUUGGCGCUCCCCGCUCCGACCUCCCCGGGCACACACUGAUGAGGUGCAGGACACAGCCAGAGAAGUGUACAGGCCUUCUGGUUCCCAUAUUGGUUUCUCACCAAACCACUUUGAUCCCUACCUUUUCCCCACCUCUGGUCCUUCUCCACAACAUCCCACAAUGCUGCGUGUCCAACCUUUUGGCUCACCUGGGCCACACUGAGUGAAGAAGAGUUGCCUUGGGCCGCAUUUAGAGAUGGUGUGAUGCUGUUUCCUUGCUGCUGAGCAAUAGGUGCAUGCCCACAUGUAGCCCAUGGGUUGGGCAUGCCUGUGGUCCUCACACGUUCUUCCAUGACAUCCCAUGAUGAGUUUCAUAUGCUUGUAGUUGUAGGUGCUCCAGAGAGCUUCUCCCAUGGACUUGAUGGGCUGAUGACUCUCCUACAGCAGCCUGCGAGGAGCUAAAGUUAAGGUGGUGGAGUUAUUGGAGUUGUUCAGUGGUUCUUCUGUGCUUCUUUGGUUUUGUGCUGAUGAACUUUUCCCCGAUGGUGGUGCAAGAGGCUGAUGUCUGCUUCUCUGUGGUGCUUGUAUGAGGGCUGGUCCAAAAGUAACGCUUCCUAUUUUAUUAUGCCGACCCACGACAUCAGAGGUGAAUGAUCAUAGUAUGGCAGUAGAGGCUGAACCUUCUCACCAAUAUUCCAUUACAUUUUGUUGCCAUGUGAUGACGGAGUCUGACAUGAAGCAAAGGUGUGUUACCGAAUUCCUCCACACAGAAAAAAAAAUGGCACUUACUGAUAUUUAUCAAUGCACGCUGAACAUUUAUGGAGACCAAACAGUGGAUGUGAGCACAGCGAGGCAGUGAGUGGUGCAUUUCAGCAGUGACAAGAGCAAUAUGAAAGACAAGCCAAAUUUGAAUGGGCAUGCAGAUUUUUAUGAGCACAGCAUACAGGUUCUUGUUCAAUGCAUUGAUAAUGGUGCACUUACACUAAUGCAUGCAGCGUGGGCAACAAACAGGAGGAGCUCGAAGCCAUGGUGUGACGGGAGUACUAUGACUUAGUCGUCAUCACUGAAAAGAUUCUCAUGACUGGAGUGCUGCAAUGGAUGGCUAUAAGCUCUUUAGGAGAUAUAGGCAAGGAAGGAGGGAUGGUGGGAUGACUCUCUAUGUGUUUUGAUGUUGUAGAGCUCAGUGCUGGGGGUGAUAAUAUUGAGUCCUUAUGGGUAAGGAUCAGAAGGAAGGCCAACAAAGCCAACAUCCUGGUGGAAGUCUGUUAUAGACCUUCUAGCCAGGAUGAAGGGACAGAUGAAGCAUCCUAUCAGCAGCUGUCCAAAGAAGGGCUUCAAAGCUGCUGAAGGGUCUGGAGCACAAGUCUUGAAAGGAGCGGCUGAGGGAACUGGGGUUGUUCAGUCUGGAGAAGAGGAGGCUCAGGGGAGACCUUAUCACUCCCUACAGUGACGUGCAAUGGGGUUGUAACAAGGUGGGGUUGGCCUAUUCUCCCAGGUAACUAUCAAUAGGACAAGAGGUAAUGACUUAAAGUUGCACCAGGGGAGGUUUAGGUUGGAUAUUAGGAAAAAUUGUUGUGAGAAAGAGUGAUGAUGCAUUUCCCAGGGAGGUGGUGGAAUCACUGUCCCUGAAGGUGUUCCAGAACCAUGUGGAUGUGGUUUAGUGGGCAUGGUGGGGAUAGGUAGAUAAUUGAACUUGAUGAUGAGUUCUUAUCCAACCUUAAGAAUUUAUGAUUCUGUGGCAGUGACUAUGUUGAAAAAUAGCACUGUAGCUGCGAAUUUGCUCUAUCAAAUAGUGUCAUUGUGCUCUUUAUAUCUGUUGUAGUUUCUAUGAAAAUAAAUAGAAGGCCUUACUUUCGAAGCGACCUAUGUAGAUAGGAAAGGAUGAAAUAAUCAGAAAAAAAGACUUCUCUGUUGAUAAAAUCCUCCCAUCUGAUCAUCUUCACCAGUCAGGGAGACACUGAGCAGGAGGUCCCAAGGUGGGACAUCAGCAUAGAUGGAGCUUUGGAUUCACCCAGAAGGACUGUUCAUGUCCUCCAGUCAGUAAUCACUCUUUGCUGGAGUGCUGCUUGUAGCGUACUGCUGUUAGGAUGCUGCAUAGUCAGCAGAUGAUACUGUGUAGGUGUUUAUAGUUUCCUGGUAAACAUACCCACUCCAUCUAUAUUGCUCUAAUUACAAACAUGGAGAGUAUAAUACUAAAUGUUAGAUAAGCACGUUGUGUACAUUUUAACAGCAUACCAUAGCUGAUCCCUUUGGCAAAUCCAGGGUAAUUUUCAAGUACAGUUGUGACCUUGUUUCUUGUAGCAUCUCUGGCACUGCGCUUUGCUGCAAACAGAACAAAUCCCUUCUACUUAGAGAGGAACUCCACACAACAGAAUUUCCAAAACAUUAAUUUUUAUGCUGUCUUAAUUGCACCACUAGCAAUUCCAGUAAAGAGAAGCAAUACAUUACAGUAAUGUUGACAGCUACCCUGAAAACACCUGUCCAUGGGGAGAUUUAAUGAAGCACCUGUACUCUUGGCAUUUCUGCUUCCUCAAGAAUAAAAAAUAUUUUGCAUUCCAUCAGAUAGAGAGAGGGCUUUUGCUGCUGUUUGUUUAUUUUGCUACAAAUAAACAGACCUGUUUGUAGCAUUAUUCAGCAAUAAAGAAUAAACUGCUCAGUUCCUCAGAGGAUGGAACCCAUGUUCACAUUCUCCUGGUCACUUCAAGCCAGCUUGGCCCUGGAACAGCACAGAGUGUUUGCAGGUGUCCCCGAGAGGUUACACUGCAACCAGGAACCGUGGGAGCACAACAGAACUGUGACAAUGCGCCUUGCUUAUGAAUGUGCUUUCAUACAAUAGGCCAUAAAGAAAGGGAAGUAAUCUACACUCCCAUAGAGGAUUUAUCUGCAAGCAAUUAAUUUCAAGUUAGUCAAUCAAAGUGAUAAGGAGCGUGUGCCAGUGAUUUGGCCUCCUUUACCAGUUUUUUCCUUCUUUGUUUCUUUCUUUCUUUUUUUAAUUAAGUAAGCUAUUACAUUUGUUAGGAGAAAAUUCAUUUUCUAUAAAUAGCUACAAAAUUAUUUGCCUUCUCAGAGAUUGGAUUUUAAGUCUUUUUUUUAACGUCGUUCAGUUUUUAUAUACAAAGUAAUACAAUACACGUAUCCGUGCUCUUAUCAGUUGUGUAGGAUUUUCUAUUAU